rnacentral:rRNA from 1 species
UACGAAGGGGGCUAGCGUUGUUCGGAAUCACUGGGCGUAAAGCGCACGUAGGCGGAUUUGUAAGUCAGGGGUGAAAUCCCGGGGCUCAACCUCGGAACUGCCUUUGAUACUGAUGGUCUCGAGUCCGGAAGAGGUGAGUGGAAUUCCUAGUGUAGAGGUGAAAUUCGUAGAUAUUAGGAAGAACACCAGUGGCGAAGGCGGCUCACUGGAUCGGUACUGACGCUGAGGUGCGAAAGCGUGGGGAGCAAACAGG